UACGGAGGGGGCGAGCGUUGUCCGAAGUUACUGGGCGUAAAGCGCGCGUAGGCGGGUUGGUAAGUCCGCUGUGAAAGCCCGGAGCUCAACUCCGGAGGGUCGGUGGAUACUGCCAGUCUUGAAGGUGCUAGGGGGAGAUGGAAUUACCGGUGUAGCGGUGAAAUGCGUAGAGAUCGGUAGGAACACCAGUGGCGAAGGCGGUCUCCUGGGGCAUUCUUGACGCUGAGGCGCGAAAGCGUGGGGAGCGAACAGG
rnacentral:rRNA from 1 species